UACAGAGGUGGCAAGCGUUGUUCGGAAUUACUGGGCGUAAAGCGCGCGUAGGCGGCUUUGUAAGUUAGAGGUGAAAGCCCAGGGCUCAACCCUGGAAUUGCCUUUAAGACUGCAUCGCUUGAACAUCGGAGAGGUAAGUGGAAUUCCGAGUGUAGAGGUGAAAUUCGUAGAUAUUCGCAAGAACACCAGUGGCGAAGGCGGCUCACUGGCCCGGUACUGACGCUGAGGUGCGAAAGCGUGGGGAGCAAACAGG
rnacentral:rRNA from 1 species